CCCUAGCUACUCCAUAGCCUACCAAAUUUCCCUGUAUAUUGGCUUGGCCAUGGCCAGCUACACAUACGCCGCAGUGGCCUCAUUGCCUUUCAUGUAAUGGGCCGCACAAACUACCCAUAACAUGAGUAAUAUCUCCGCGAACUCCUCAUGGGAGGUGGUGUCCACGAGAUGAAACAGCCGUUCCCGAGCGCACAUGUGUCACAUCGUUUGAUUGCAUAGAGUGUUAUGUACCCACUCAUGAAUCACUCGAAUUACUCCAUUACAGGAAGUUCAAGCUCAGCUACAAGAGGUUGAGGAGGAGGGAGAGUACAGGAGGUAGGAGAUGACAGGGAAAAGAGGAAGCCGCCGUUGCCGUUCGUGAUCCAAGCCCGGAUGCCCGUUCGCUGCGUCUUGGCUGGGUACUUGUAGUCUGCCUGCCCUGGGAGUAACAACUUGUCCGGCCCGGCCCAUGUGUUGGUGGGCUCGCUGCCUUGGCUCUCCAGUUUGUGUUGCCGUUGGUUUCGCUGCCAUGGCAGCAGUUUGGGCUACCAUGGUAGCGCCUUCAGUUGAUGUGGCCGCGGCGGUACUUUGGGUCGCUGACAUCCCCUCCUCCUUAACAACCGGCUUGCCCUCAAGCCGGUGCCAGUUAGCCGCUAGUUCCUCGAAGUUUGUGUCUUGCAGAUGCAAUUUGAGCAUAUGUGAGGUGCCAUCAGCUAGCCAGGAAGGAGAACAGGAGUCUUGAAGUUCUGUAUAUCUGCCGAGCCGGUGCCUGUUCGCCGCUAGUUCAACAAAAUCAAAUCCUCCUGGAUCCCACUGCACACAUGAAGUUGCUGAUUGAACUGAUUGUAUGAAUUGCCACCUCAGGAUAAAAGUUGCGAUGUAAUCUUCAGUUAUGGGUCUCAUUGCACGCAAACCACCGCAGAUAGUAGAGCUCUCAGAAAUACAUGGCAACCCUUCUUGUAACUUUUCGGCGAUGAUAUGGGCCAACCAAAACAGAGUAGUCAUGGGACCUGGUCCCCAAGAGAAGCACCGCCAAUAGCUUGACAAGGUACUGACAUGAUGAGUAAAGGGCCAAGAUUGAGUCAAUUCCCAAAGAACACCAGUGAGACGCAGAAACUCUGAAUUAGUUCGCAUAUAGCUUCUGAAUUCUGUAGGAAUUUUUGGUGGGAAAAGAGGUGACCAUGGGGGUUUGGGUUGCAGCAUGGGAAAAUGUUCUGCCGGUUGUGUGAUAAGUAAUUCCAACUCCAUCAGCAGGGUCCUACUGUCGACCAAUGGGAUGCCCAAACACAUGUAACCGGUGGAAGUGAAUUUGUUGCUGUUAUGUAGGACCGAAGCAAAGGUACGACGAUUUGCAGUCUCUGAAUUAUGCUUGUCCAAGUUGUGGUCAGCAGGACUGAAUUUAGAACAAGAAGUCUGAUGUAGUAUGUGCGGCAAGAGCUUGAAUAUACUCUCAACGCCAAAGUUAUAGUCUUGUUGCUGAGCAAGUGGGCUGGUAAGAGCACUUGUUGAUGUACUAGAAUUCACCUUGGGCUGGUCACGAACACAGGGAGCGCAAUAGCACAAAUAAUCGCUUUGAAUAAAAUCAGAAGCGACCGAACGAGCAUACUCAAGCACUUGCGGCUCAUUCAAAAUCUUGGCUAUUUGAGGGCACGAUUUGGCGUUGCAACGGAACUACAGCCUAUCAAUAUGCUCCACCGUCGAAUAUACCAAAACAACCAAGAGGUUGACAUGUUGUUUAUGAUGGCCCUCUGAAUUCCAUUGCUUGUCACUUGCAUCCCAGGGGUGACAAAAAGCAUGAAACAAAGGUUCGGACCACAUCUAACCAAACACCUCUUCUUUAGUUCUUGGAGCCCACAACCUCUUAAACUGAGUGAAGAAAUGCCAAUGACAACAAUAACUAGUGGCACUGGCUGCACAUGAAUUCAUAUAUUCUGGAACCGAGUUUGCUGGCUGUACAUACUGAACAACCGAUGAUUGCAAAAAUUUUGAAUUAAUUUCUCCAAGAGUUAUGUGAUACUCUAGGUAUCCCUUGUCCAGCAAUAAUUGAAAGGGCUUGAUUGACAGAAAUUUUGCACACCAGGGCAGAAAUAGGAUCACCAGGCAAGAGUUAUCAAUUGACAGCUGAACACUUGAAGUAUCUUGAGCAGACAAGUUCUUUUCUUUUCUUGGUGGCGCUUUAGACAUGAUAUCCAGAACUUCUAUAACAUCUUUAAAGAAGGUGUCCACUUUCCUGGAACAUGCAGAUUGGUAUUCUGGGUCAGAUAGAAGCAGAGGGCACUUCUGAAGAGAUGAGGAAUUCAAAUCACCAAUAAACUCACAACUGUCAGAUAUUUUAUCAGAUUUGCUAUCAGCCACAACAACUGUAUUGUUGCUAUCAAUGCCUGCUGAGCAUCCAUCUGUGUUCCAGAGGUUUAAGUCAUCUUCACGCCCAACCAAUCCAGGAGUUGUAUUUUGAACAUAAUAUUCAGCUUCGUAUUCAACUUCGAAUUCAGCAGGAAAAUCAGUCAUGCUUGAUUCUCUGAAAAACUGAUACUUGCAUGGUUCAUAUCUUUCAAGAGGUAAUACAUAUGCAGCCACACUUGAACCCAUGCAUCCUUUAUCCAUUUUUUUGAUUUCCAAAGGAACAUCGAACUCCCUUGCGAUUGCUGGACCAUCUCCCGGUGAACAUCUCCGAACAUCAAACGAACAUCGCCUUGCAAUUUCAGUGAAACUUUCACGCACUUUGUGUUGAAUUCCACUGGUGCAAGGCUUGACUGAAUCAGUUCCAUUACCAUGCUCCUCCAGGUGAACAUCUCUAAACAUCAACCGAACUAACCAAGGACUAAAGCAGGAACCUCGAUGUGAUUGACUAUGGAUACUUGAACAUGGCUCUUCCGGGUAGCUUGUGACUGACAGAGGCCCGAACGAUGGCCACGGGCUAGGCCUGAAGAUGGAUCCCAUGUGAUUGAACCUCCAUGGUUGAUGUCGUUCGAAGGAAGGCGGGUGCAGACGCUCAGCGAUGGGAGUGUCAUGUGUCUCGUCGACACUAUCGAUGGUGGCGGUCAGAGGUUUCACCCAGUCGCCCACAUAGGCGGAGCAUUCUGCCAAGCACUUGGACGGCGCUAGUGCAGCCAAGUUGUUGGGAACAAGGAGAACGACGAUGUGGUCCGCCUCGCUCACUACUUGGGUGGAGUUGUUGCUGCAUGGUAGUGGCGAGUCGUCCAGCUCCUGCACGCUGGUCUUGGGGUUGACCUCGGUGGUGGUUGCCACUGGUGUGAUGAUCUCGGAGGCGACCUCCUGGUGGAUGUGGUCAUCCACGGGCUCGAGCUGGGCGGCUGUGGCAGCGUCGUGGACCUCGCCGACGCUGGCGAUGGAGGCGACCUGGGUCAGGCACUCCGUCGAACAGGUGGCGGGCACCCUCUCGAUGCGGACCGAGGGUGCAUCAUGCGAGACCGCGGGGGUCUCCUGGGCCUGGGUGGUGGUGGAGAAGACGUCGUGGACGACCGCCGGGGCUCUGGGGUCGUCGGUGAGGCCACCAUCGGCUGCUGUGCCCAUGGGGCAAGCCAGCUGCGGGGUCGAGACGCCCGUGAGGAUCUUUAACAUCCGCGCGUGCUGCUUGUCCACGGCGUCGUAGCGCGCCAUGGUCCGUGCGUGGUAAUCGGCCAAGUAGGACUUCAGCUCCGGGUGCAUGGUGGUGGAAGAAAUUGAUGAACUCAGAAGAAAAAAUUGGGCAAAAAUUGGACGAACUCGGGAAAAUUUGUGGCGAAUCGGAAGGGUGGAAGGAGGCUCUGAUGCCACGAUGUUAUGUAGCCACUCACGAAUCACUCGAAUUACUCCAUUACAGGAAGUUCAAGCUCAACUCCAAGAGGUUGAGGAGGGAGAGUACAGGAGGUAGGAGAUGACAGGGAAAAGAGGAAGCCGCCGUUGCCGUUCGUGAUCCAAGCCCGGAUGCCCGUUCGCUGCGUCUUGGCUGGGUACUUGUAGUCUGCCUGCCCUGGGAGUAACAACUUGUCCGGCCCGGCCCAUGUGUUGGUGGGCUCGCUGCCUUGGCUCUCCAGUUUGUGUUGCCGUCGGUUUCGCUGCCAUGGCAGCAGUUUGGGCUGCCAUGGUAGCGCCUUUAGUUGAUGUGGCCGCGGCGGUACUUUGGGUCGCUGACAU
rnacentral:lncRNA from 1 species